UUUUUUUUUUUAGCAUUAAUUCAGUGUUUACUACGCAGCAACAGCAGGCUUUGUUCUAACUACAGUGAUCUACCAUCUCAUUUGCUCAGGACUGAAAGGUGUUCCAGGAUGUGGGUCUUUAAGAUUUAAAAUCAGAACUGUCCUGGGCAAAAAGGACAAGUUUGUCCUUGUUCUGAGGUAUUAUGGUGAACAAAGCAGACUGCACUUUCAUGAAACAAACAUUCUAACCAGAAAGGGCAGCUCCCCAAAUUACACAGACAAAAUUACACAUGUGUUGAUAAGUACCUUGAAGGAAGAAAAUACAGGCUUGAGGUAGAAAAUACUAGGUGGUAACUCUGAGUGUGGUGACUGAGAAUGAGAUAUCUAAGCUUAGGCAUAAAGGAGGCAUGGGGUUAGCAAGGCAGAGUGGAGGAGAGGGCCUUUAGAAGGAGGGAACAAAAUAAGCAAGCCCCUGAGGUGACAAUGAGCUUGGUGUAUUUAACAUCAUUUCAAAAAUUCUAUUUGAUUUAUUCAUUUAUGUUAGAGAUGGCUCUGUUGCCCAGGCUGGGAAAUGGUGGCAUAAUCAUGGCUUGCUGCAGUCUUGACCUGCUGGGCUCAAAUAAUCCUCCCGCCUCAGCCUCCUGAGUAGAUAGGGCCGUAGCUGUGCCCCACUACCAUGCUCAGCUAAUUUUUUAUUUUUUUUUUGUAGAAACAGUCUCACUAUGUUGUCCAGACUGAUGUCAAGCUCCUGGCCUCAAGUGAUCGUCUUGCCUCUGCUUCCCAAAGUGCUGGGAUUACAGGCCAGCAUGAUGUAUUUGAGAGCUGAAAAAAAUGCACUGGGCAGGCACAAGCAUUGCCAGGGGGAAGAGACUUGGGGAGACUGGAAAGUAGACAGGACCUGGGAGAUGCUGCUCUAUGGGCCUCAGUAGCUCCACGUGAUGCUGAUUUCUGUAUCCUGUUGGUUAUGGCCUGCAUUUCUUCAGGAAUUCCACUUUUAGUUGAUUAUUCAGUGAAGAUGGUAAAGAUGAUUCCCUGCAGCUCCAGGAAGAAGUAAUUUCUGUUUUUUGUUAUUUUUGGAAAACUUCUUUGUAUGCCUCAUUUCUGGUUAAAUAGAUAAGACUUCUGCUUGCUAGAUUUCCAUGAAUUUGGGAUGUUCUAGAAAGCAAUACAUUAUGCUGCUUUAAAUAUUACGUGUCUCAAAGAAUUACUUUAAACUGAUUGCCAUGAAUAGGAUUCACUUCAUUUUAGGGUUGAAAGAAGCAGUUCAUGUUAUAACACGCAGUAUCUGAAAGCACAAAUCAGGUGCCCACUGAUUUUGCCCACCCUAGGACUAUAAAAAAAACUGGCCGGGCGCGGUGGCUCAAGCCUGUAAUCCCAGCACUUUGGGAGGCCGAGGCGGGUGGAUCACAAGGUCAAGAUAUAGAGACCAUACUGGUCAACAUGGUGAAACCCCGUCUCUACUAAAAAAAAUACAAAGAAUUAGCUGGGCAUGGUGGCGCGUGCCUGUAGUCCCAGCUACUCAGGAGACUGAGGCAGGAGAAUUGCCUGAACCCAGGAGGCGGAGGUUGCGGUGAGCCGAGAUCGCGCCAUUGCACUCCAGCCUGGGUAACAAGAGCGAAACUCCGUCUCAAAAAAAAAAACAAACAAACAAAAAAAACCCCUUCAGUUUAUUGGGUCCCAUAUUUCUACCUAUAGCUGUUCUCAGAUUUUUUUGUUUUUAAAACCUGGGAUGUUCUUGGGACAAAAAAAAGAUGAGCCAAGAGUGACCAAAUCUAUACUGUAAAUGUAGUCCUAUGUUACACUGACUACAUACCAUAUGGGCUUUAAAACACUGUACCAACACAUCACAAAGGUUAUGUAGCACGUUGUGAUAUAAACUUGAAAUCUCCUCUCUAAGGAGGGAGUGAUGAUUUUCAGACACUGAGCCCAAGCACGUGGCCUUUACACUAGUUUGGUCUGGUUUCUUUCUGGCACUGUCCAGGUUUUGCUGACUUUCCUCAGAGAAUCCUGAGCCUGCUUUGCUGGCAUGCGCUUCCUUUUGUCCCAGUUUUUGUUACGAGUUACCACAGACUCUUAGACUUCGUGACGUACUUUCUUUACAUUCUCUUUUAGCACAGCCCCUGUAAUGUAUCUCUAGAAGAUUAGGGCCAACAAAACUGGCCUUUGCUACUUUAAUAAUUAUGCAGCUGAAUGACCCUUGUCUGUUUCCUUGGGGUUGGGCAAUUUUUCUUUUAAGAAAAUGACGAGGCCGGGCGCGGUGGCUCAAGCCUGUAAUCCCAGCACUUUGGGAGGCCGAGGCGGGUG
ensembl:lncRNA